rnacentral:miRNA from 1 species
AUACAUCAUUGAUUGAAUGAACCU